rnacentral:lncRNA from 1 species
CGAACAGGAGUGGCGAAGGUGGCAGAGGGAUGGGGCGAGUCGGCGGCGUAGGUAAAUCCGACUCGAUUUUUAGAAACUUUUUGUUGUUACGGUGUAAUGGUGUAAAAAAGAAGCAGGAAGAGGAAGAGGAUGAGAAGAAGAAAUGGUGCAAUUUUGAAUGAAAUAGUGUAAAAUUUGGCGAAAUAAUGUAAUUUUUAUUUUAAAGAGUAUAACAUUCACCUUAAACAGUACAAUUUUUCUAAAAAAAUAGUGCAAUUUAAUUUUAACAGUGCAACCUUCAUCUUCUUUUUCCUUUUUCGCUGAUUUUUUGCUUCUUU